rnacentral:rRNA from 1 species
AUUGACCGCUGGCGGCAGGCCUAACACAUGCAAGUCGAGCGGGGACUUCGGUCCUAGCGGCGCACGGGUGAGUAAUGCUUGGGAAUCUGCCCAGUAGUGGGGGAUAACGUCCCGAAAGGGACGCUAAUACCGCAUACGUCCUACGGGAGAAAGAGGGGGAUCUUCGGACCUCUCGCUAUUGGAUGAGCCCAAGUCGGAUUAGCUAGUUGGUAGGGUAAUGGCCUACCAAGGCGACGAUCCGUAGCUGGUCUGAGAGGAUGAUCAGCCACACUGGAACUGAGACACGGUCCAGACUCCUACGGGAGGCAGCAGUGGGGAAUAUUGGACAAUGGGCGAAAGCCUGAUCCAGCCAUGCCGCGUGUGUGAAGAAGGCCUUCGGGUUGUAAAGCACUUUAAGCGGGGAGGAAGGUUCGCGGCCUAAUACGUCGCGGAAUUGACGUUACCCGCAGAAUAAGCACCGGCUAACUCUGUG